UCCGUAGGCGGGCAAUUAAGUCAGAGGUGAGAUCCCACAGCUCAACUGUGGAACUGCCUUUGAUACUGGUUGUCUUGAGUUAUAGUGAGGUAGAUAGAAUAUGUAGUGUAGCGGUGAAAUGCAUAGAUAUUACAUAGAAUACCGAUUGCGAAGGCAGUCUACUAACUGUAUACUGACGCUAAUGGACGAAAGCGUGGGGAGCGAACAGGAUUAGAUACCCUGGUAGUCC
rnacentral:rRNA from 1 species